GGAAACGCUAUUCACGUUCACACACAUAUAACUCACCUCUCACAUACCACACUAAACCCUCACCUGACGCACUGCUCACACCACUCAUGCACUUCACAAUUCACUCUCACACACACACGAAGGUCUCACUUACGCCAGCUGCACGAAGGGAUGUGGAAUGGACGUUUCAACUUUCAAGAUACUUGAAACGCACACGUGAACAUAACAGGGGAAACAAAGGAAAACCCCGGGUCUUUUUCUCCAGAUUUUUCUGGUGGCUUCCAAGGUUUUCUCUAUAUAUUUUCUAGUAGCUUCUAAGGAUUCAUAUCGCCAAGGUUCGCGCCACUCUCUAUUGGAAUCGUCGUCGCGGCACAUCCCUGGAGUUUGGAGUUUGAGUUCAGGCCUCUCGUUGAUGGUACAGGAGAGUGUGUUGUUGUAGGAAUCAUGACAAGUUCAUCAAAUGCACCUACUCCAAACAAAGACCCUAUGUGGUCCUUUAUGGAACAAUUCAGAAAAGAUAGGGAGCAAAGAAAGAUUAUAGGAGCUCGUUAAUACUUGCACGGUUACGAGAGUGCAUUUGGCCCUCUAAACGAAAAAGAGGACUACAAAUCAGUUCGUGACAAAGAUGGUCAUGGAACACACACAGCUUCAAUAGUUGCAUCUGGUGUACAACUGUAAUCGUAUUUUUUAUUACCUGAGCUCUUCCCUGCUUCUUUGCCUUGUUUAGAUCAGCUAUUGAAAAGUGAUACAUUCUCUUAUUUUUUUUAUACUACCUCAUGAUAUUGUUGUCAAAAACAUUAUGUCAUGGUAAUUAUAUUAGUUUAUUUAUAGAAAAUUCUAAAUUUGAUAUUAUCUUUUGAUUAGUGCUUCAGUGUUUGGUUAAUCAAAGAAUUAAAGAUAUCUUUUUGAUAAUAUGAAAAUGAUGACAUUGGACGUUUGUUGGUUGUUUGUCCCUUGAUUCUGUUGUCAAUAAGGUUAUUCUUAUCAAUUCCAGUGGAGUUUGCAGAGUUACCAAUAAGUUUUUGUGAUUGCAUUUGAUCAUUCAUUUCCUGCUUGCAGAUGUGCUAGACUAUCAGUAUCAUGACUUUGAUAUUUUUUUUUUAUUUGCAAGAA